rnacentral:rRNA from 1 species
UGAAGGACGUGCUAAUCUGCGAUAAGCGUCGGUAAGGUGAUAUGAACCGUUAUAACCGGCGAUUUCCGAAUGGGGAAACCCAGUGUGAUUCGUCACACUAUCAUUAACUGAAUCCAUAGGUUAAUGAAGCGAACCGGGGGAACUGAAACAUCUAAGUACCCCGAGGAAAAGAAAUCAACCGAGAUUCCCCCAGUAGCGGCGAGCGAACGGGGAGCAGCCCAGAGCCUGAAUCAGUGUGUGUGUUAGUGGAAGCGU